GAUAAGCACCUCCAAAGGAUACCUGAUCAACCAGGCUGUGAGCAGCCGCGUCCAACAGUCUGGAGAACCAGGAGGCCUGGUUGACGACCGGGCCGCAAGGACGCUAAGGCCCAGAAGCACUAAGUUAACCUCAAGGUCAUAAGAUUGGCUGGAGCAGUUUGCUGGCAAAAACGGCACUGAAGUAAUGGCUAGUGGUUGUAACUUAAUGUGACCAUUCACCAGCGUUUAACUACAGGGAUCAUGUGUACACAAAGGUAGUCGUCGACGAAAGUUGUUGGCAAGUGAGAAAUCGUGAGCGUCCAAGAGUGAUGGUAUUUGAAGAUGUCAUUGGAAGUAAACUCUUCACUUGGUGUAAAUAAGUGCACAAGGAAUGUGAGAAAUUGCCAGAAUGUGGAAUAAGUAAUAGUAAAAUAAGAAAUGUUGUGGUUGUAUUAUUGAAUAACUCAUUCUGCUGUUCAGAUCUCUUAUGUGUGCAGCAUAGUAAGACAUUGUAAGGAAGUAGGUAGGAGUUUGUAGUAUAGACUUAAGUGUCUGGGUGAGAUGUAUGAUUAUGUUACUUUAGCACCCAUGUACUAUUAGUGUUCAGAGAUUGUGUAUUAAGCGUAGAAAGGUUAGUUUAGGUUUUAAGUAGAAGAUGGCUAUUUUGUUUAAGAUGGUGAAUAUUAGGGAUUUGUAGUAUAUUUGGAUAUGUAUUGAAAUGACAAAGACUGGAGUGUUGCAUUAGGAUAAAAAAUAAAAUGAUUAAAGAUAGAAGAAAAUGGAAUACAGUCUAAAGUUUGGUAGGAGGAAAGUGAAAGUUGCAGUGUUUAGUUUUGAAAUUUAUUCAUAGAUGUUGUAAAUAGCACUUUUAUAUGAAAAUAGAAGGGAAAAAGCAUAGGUAAGAUUGGCAUAAAUAGUAAAAAUAUAACAUGAAAGUCUAGUAGAGAGGUUAGCGUUUGGUACAUUUGUAAAUGUAUUAAAAUGCCAAAAAAAUAAGUUGUGUGCAUAAGAUAUUAGUUAGUUGUAUGUUGGCGUAAAUAUGUUAAAAAUGUUAAUUGUGUGUAAUAGGCUGCAGGUCUAAUUUUGGGUACAAGAGGUAUUGUGUAAAGUGUUAUUAGAAUUGCAUUGAAAAAUGUAAUAAAUGUUGGCUGGAAUUGUGUAAAGUUCGUUAACUAUGAUAAAAAAUAGUGAGAUUGUUAAAGGGUUUCUAGUGUUAGAGUAAAGAAAAUAAUUGGCACUGAAAGAAUGUAGUCGGUUAUUGGAAAUGUCAUACGUUAGUGCUGUAAACAUUUCAUAACGUUAGAUCAGAAAUGAAUUUUCAAUUGUAAUUCUUCAUGGCGAUGCGAGGUAGUUUAGAUAAAUAAGCUUAAGUUAUUGUUGCAGAAAGUUGAAGUUAGGUUUAAAUGUAAGAAAUAGAAUGUAUAAAAUUUACAAUGGUAAGAGUGAAAAGUUUUUCAAGUAAUGUGUACCUAUUUUUAAUAUUUAAAUAAAGGAGGGUGUGGGAUAAAAUAUAUUGGAGGAUGAAUUGUAACAAUGUCAGGGUAAGAAGGAUGGAGCUGAUGAGGGUUUAAAGCUUGGGUGAUAUUGCAGCUGUAAGACAUUGACAUAAGUGUUUUAGUAAGUUGAUCUAUGAGAGCAUAGGUUCCUCUUUGAACGUGUAUUAAAUGUAAAAGUUUAUUUUAGGUCAGAUUGGCUGGAGGAAUUUGCUGCCAGAACGUGGUAAAGCGACUGUUCAGGAGUGUUUGACUACAGUACAUAUUUACACAAGGUAGUCAUCCAAGAGUUGUUGGGAAAUCAGGUUAUACGAGAGGGUGUUGGCGAGUCUUCAUAUGGUAGAAGUGUUGAAAGUAAAGGACCACUACCCAUGGGUUGUGUAUACUGAAAUAGUAAAAGCGGGAAUUGACUAUUUCACCCCUGACUAAUGAAUGCUUAAUGAAGAGAUGAUGGUAUUUGAGGAAGUAAAAUCUUCAGUUGGUUUGAAGGAAAUAAGGCUUUUGGAAAUUAUAGGCAGAAGGCUGGAAAAUAUGAACGUGACAGAACUGUUUAGUGUAAUUUGGUUUUAGGCAUGUACACUAGAGCUUAAUCUUGGAUGUAGGAUAAUGCAUGUAUGCAAAUACAGAAAAUUUAUAGUUGUAAGUGGGUAUAAAAACUGUGGUCCUCAAAUUUUAUUUAAAUAGUACCAAAACAAGAGUGUGGAUCAGCGUGAGUAAGUAUUCAGUAGUGAAUAUUGUAUUUACUUUUGAUAUAAGGGAAAAAAAGCAGAUGGAAUGUGUUAAAUGACACAUUAAGGUUAAUGGGGAAAAAUGUUAGUAAAAUGUGAACAUGGAUGUAGUAAAUAUAGAAUUGGAGAGAAAUGCAAUUGUAAAACAGAAAAUGGGCUAAAUAUAGAAGUUUAAGUUUAGUUAAAAGUAUAGCAUGCAUCAAUGGUGUCACAAAUCAAAUAUUAUGGGCAGCAACUUGUGGUUGUGUUAUACUUGAAAUAGUUUUGAAGAUGUGUUUUUUCUUGACAAACAAAAUGUUAUAUGAAAAAUAAAGUAAGGUGUUUGUAUAAAAAAUGUUGCUUGUGUUUGAGUUAAGGUGUUCCUCAUAAGGUUACAAUGUAAGACGUGAAUAUAUUGCAAUACGACAAAUGUGAGGCUUUAGGAAAAUAAAUUUAUAAAAUAUAGAAAGGUUGUAUGGUAAAACGGUGAUCUCCUGGAUAGGCUUGACGUUUCUUUAUAAUAUUGGAAGAAAGGAUGGUGUAGUUCUUAAUAUAUUAGAGGUUAGACACUAAAUGUGUACUUUAGUUAGAUGUAGUUAAUCAUUGAACAUAAAUAAUAAGAGAAAAAUGGAUGUAUGAAAGUAUUGUGAUUUAAUGAGUUGUUUGACAUGAAUGUGAUAAAAUAGGAAAAUAGCCAUAGGUUCAAGUAGUUAAAAAUGCAUUAGUACUUUACCAUUUGAAAUAGUAUGUAAUUUCAGGUUAUACAAGAGGGGUUUGGUGAGUGUCUUUGUAUGGGAGACUGGUGAAGAACUAGAGGACCAGGAGCCAUAUUUACGUGCAUGUGUUGUGGCGAUGUCGGAAAUUUGUGCCACCCCCUGAGAAGUAACAGAAUUGGUUGAAAAUCUCAAAGUUUAUGAGGGAUGGUCGACUUGUGGUCCUGGCGAGAAACUAUGGGUAGUUUGUUGCACUGUAUGGGGGGCCUGGUAGAGGACACUAAAAGGCUGAAGUUAAUGUCAUGAUGGACGAAUGGUUUCAGUUGAAUAGGAAAUGAAUAAGGCUUAGUGAAAAAUGAUUGUCAUAGUACAGAAUGAUGUAUUAAGUGGGUGCAUAAAAUGUUUAAGUUAAUGAAGAUUUAAAGUUGAGUAUAUAUAAAUUAUGGUUUUCAUGUAUGUUUAAAAUAGUAUGAAAGUAGGAAGAAUAGUAUUAAGUAAAGAUAGAAAGUGUAAAUACGAUAAAGAAAUGAUAGUUCAGUAUGUUACAUAUAAAUGUUUUGACAAAUGCAUAAAUAGUAUGUUAUGAAAUAUUUGUAGGUUUAUAGUUGAGGGAGUCGCUUACCCAUGUAAAUUGUGUUG